rnacentral:rRNA from 1 species
GAGCUCUCCCAUAUGGUCGACCUGCAGGCGGCCGCGAAUUCACUAGUGAUUCGUAUUACCGCGGCUGCUGGCACAGAGUUAGCCGGUGCUUAUUCUGUCGGUAACGUCAAAACACUAACGUAUUAGGUUAAUGCCCUUCCUCCCAACUUAAAGUGCUUUACAAUCCGAAGACCUUCUUCACACACGCGGCAUGGCUGGAUCAGGCUUUCGCCCAUUGUCCAAUAUUCCCCACUGCUGCCUCCCGUAGGAGUCUGGACCGUGUCUCAGUUCCAGUGUGACUGAUCAUCCUCUCAGACCAGUUACGGAUCGUCGCCUUGGUGAGCCAUUACCCCACCAACUAGCUAAUCCGACCUAGGCUCAUCUGAUAGCGCAAGGCCCGAAGGUCCCCUGCUUUCUCCCGUAGGACGUAUGCGGUAUUAGCGUCCGUUUCCGAACGUUAUCCCCCACUACCAGGCAGAUUCCUAGGCAUUACUCACCCGUCCGCCGCUCUCAAGAGAAGCAAGCUUCUCUCUACCGCUCGACUUGCAUGUGUUAGGCCUGCCGCCAGCGUUCAAUCUGAGCCAUGAUCAAACUAAUCGAAUUCCCGCGGCCGCCAUGGCGGCCGGGAGCAUGCGACGUCGG